CAUCUGGAGGAUUCCUGAGUGGUAGGGGUCUAUAUAAAGAGCCUGGUGGCUUGUUAUGUUUGUACAUUUCCCUACAGCAGCAUUUGUGCUUCAUAACAUGCCGUAAACGGUCAACCUACUCAGCAAGGAUUUUAAAGUCUGCAUGCAAUAAAGUAACUUUAUCCUGGAAAGGGUCUUGGUGGAUCAGGAACCUAUCCCGUGAAUGCUGGACUCAAGGUUCCAAAAGGGGGCUUUUGGUCUUUCCAAAUAUUGUACAACUAUACUGAGACCAUGAGCAGCGUGAACUCUGCUGCUUGUCUGCUGGCAAGGAAUCACUUUUACCAGAAUAUUAGUCCUACCAACAAAAUACAGCCUGUGUACAGUUUCCCUGGUAGUCCAUCAUAUGCAAGGCAAAGGCAAGUGACUGUCUGGAAAUCUGCCUCCUCACACCAAGGUUUGCCAGGACAGGAGCCAAGACGAUGGGUAAUAAGUUUGGUUUGGAAAAGUUCAUUAUCUAGCCCGGUCUCAUCCAAGCAGCUAGAUUCUGCUAACCGUGUGAUCAAAUAGACAUCUGAACCACACCUUUUCUAAAGACUUCAUGUAACAUUCCCUGAGCCACAAUAUAUACUUUCCCUUUUGAAUCCUGCCCCCAACCCACUCAAGAUUGGGUUUAAAGCCUUGAUCCAGCUGAUGUACAACCGUGAAUAGUUUCCUAGCAAAUCUACCAGUUAAUAUUAAAUGAUUUAAUUUGUCCAGGAAAAUACAAAAAAGAAAGGACCUGCAGUUGUCCUGUGGCAUGAUGCAUUCCCUUAAUAAUAGCCUCUCAUUUUUCCCCAAAAAGCAGAAGAGCAUCUUUUGUGUUCUCCUUAACCCUUACUGUAGGGAGUGUGCAUCCUCAUUCUUCAGUGUCCAAUCACAGCUUCACGUGGUCUGCCCUGCACAGACCUGUUGCCAAGCACAGGGGAAGAGAGACUGAAAGAAAAAGACAGUGUCAGCACACUACACAAAGCCUUUUCCAUGAACACCGCCAUCAGGGCUCAGUGACCAAAAAAACAUGCACACACAUGAGGGGGAAAAAGGCAUGUACUUUAUGAGAACCAAGUUCCAUAUGCUUUAAAUAGAUAAAUUGUGAGGUCAUGUUCUACUUCCUCAGGCACAUUGGAUGAGCACAUGCGGUCAUGCAUUUCUUUUGUAAAAGCAGAGUCUUCUUUUUGUAUUUUUCUGCUCAAGUUAUGUGAAAUGAACAGAUCUCGGUCCGUUUCUCAUCUUUAUCAUAUCACACAGUCUGGAAAGAAGAUUUGUGGACUUCCUUCUCACUCAUAUAAAUCUCCCUCUAGACUUGCUUACUCUUCCAAAAGCUUCAUGUUGUUUGUUCUAAGGGUGUGAUGUGAUUCGAAAGGAAGUUUGCAUAACAGAAUGUACACAGAAGAACCACUCGAGCUGAAUUAACAUGCCAGUUACACAACAGCUGCAGAUCAGCUUUGUAAGCUUGGCAGACAAAAAAAAAAGCAUGUCUAGAUCAUUCUUCCUUAGAAACUCUGAAUUAACACAUUGAUAGAGGUCAUUACUCUGGAAUGAGAUGCGAAAAGCUGUGUUAAGCCAAAAAUAGGCUUACACUGAAGGAAUAAACCAACAAUGAAAAUGAA